rnacentral:lncRNA from 1 species
UUCAAACUCACGCCAUUAUCAUCUCUGAUUUCUUGCGUCAUCUUCUGUACUUCACUUUUGUCUUCUUUCUUCUCUUUUAAAUCAGAUCGUUGCGCGGGUUCUUUAUUGAGGCAUGGGCUUUCCUUUCCGUUGGGCUUUUGUUUCUCCUGACCCAAACCUUUGUGACCCAUUGUCGAAACUGCAGCGUUUUGAUCACUCUGGUUAAUAAAACUUACAUGCUUUCCUCAAGCUUCUUCUUCGUAUCAUUUUGUGUGUUUUGAAAUUGUCUAUGAAAUCGAUUCUUAAUUUGGUGAAGUAUUGGUCGAUGUGUUUGUUUUUUGAUUGGGUGGAUUCAAUUGAUUAUCGUUCCUUUGACCUAAUUUUGAUUGACUUGGAAGAUUUUUGAUUUGAAAGUACUGUGUUUUCUUUUUUUGCAGAGAGCUACCGAUGGCGAUGAAAUACCCAAUUGGAUGCGUUUGGUGUUUCCCAAAUGCAGUUUACAUGAAUCUCAAAGAACCCAUCGUCUUCCGAACAUCUCAUCCGCUUGCUUCAUCGAAUUGUAUUAGAGGGUUGGAGUUGAAAUCUGCUGCAACUGUACUGUCAUUUUACAAUGUGUCUGAGAUUCAUAGCAAAGAAGCCAAUACAAGUCUUUUCCCGGUGCAGUCCAUGGACAAAGAUAUCGGAUCAGCUGAUGGUUUGUUCUUAGAGGCUAAGCUUAGUGAUAUGAAGACUAAAGAAGAGGAAAGGAGAAGGAAGAUUGGAUUAGCUAAUAAAGGAAAGGUUCCAUGGAACAAAGGAAUUAAACACACUCAAGGUUAGACUUGAGAGAAAGUUUUAAUUUUUUUUAUCUUUCUCCUUUGUGGGCUUUGUGAAGUAUGGUCAACUUCUUUACAGACACUCGAAGGCGAAUCAAGCAGAGAACUAUUGAAGCUUUGAGAAAUCCCAAGGUGAUGUCAAGUAAGACUCUUUCAAUUCAGCAACAUUUGUUUCGACUUGUUGUUCUAUUUGUUUAUCGUUUACAGUGAGAAACCAUGUGGCAAAGUUGAACUCUUUUUUGUUGUCUUCGCCAUCUUUCAGGUUCGGGAUAAGAUGUCUGAGCAUCAACAACCUCACAGGUACUACCUUCAUUGUUUAACUGUUUUAUGUGUAGAUACACACCACUAAGUUUGUCUCUUGCAGUGAUGAAACCAAGGAGAAGAUAAGAGCUCCAAUGAAACAUAUUUGGGCUGAAAGGUCAAGAUCCAAACGACUAACGGAGAAGCUCAUUUCAUUGUGGUCAGAGAGCAUUGCAGAAUCUGCAAGGAAAGGAGGAAGUGGUGAGGUGGAACUCGAUUGGGACAGCUACGAGAAAGCAAAACUUGGGAUUGCAUCUGAGCAGCAGCUUCAAUUGGCUGAAGAGAAAGCGAGAACAAAGGAACAAACCAAGAUGAGAGCAGAAGAAGCCAAGACAGAGAAGAAGAUGAGGAGAGUUGUGGAAAGAAAGAAAGAACGGCAUGAGAGAGACCAGAGAGGAGGAAAGACUAGAAAACCAAAUCAGAACAAGGAGAAUGCAACUACUACCUCACGUUCUAAACUGAAGAAGAGACUCACAAAUGUAAAAAGAAAAACUAUUCUUUCGACGUUUGAGACAAAACAAGAAACUAAUACUCUGGUUUGCAUAAUGUCUUUGUCAGACUCACAAGAAAAAAACAAGUCUUGGUAAAAUCGCUGUUGGAAAGGAUAGGGUUGUUUCAGUUGCAACUAAGCUGGAGAAACUGGACUGGGAGCUGAUAAGGAAAGAGAGAACAAGAGGAGAUAUCUCACUUGCUGAUCAGAUCCAAGCUGCCAAGAACCGACGAGGAAAUGAUUUUUCAUCAAGAUUUGGUUUUUUUGCCAUGAAAUCUAUGGACUUCAAUUAACUCUUUUCAACUCAAACAGUUUAUAUUAUAUAGCUGCUGCCCCUUUACUUCUUGUUCCACUAUAUACUUGUAUAAGACUUAAAAGAUAUGAUAGAUAAACCAAUUACUAAUAGGAGUGCCACUUUAACUUAUGCAGAAUCAUUAAACUAACUCUCAGUCUCUCACACAAACUGACAGAACAAUGACCACAAUAGUGAAAAGCUCCAAUGAACAAUAGUAUCAGCUCCUAUACCUGAAAACCCAAGAUGGUUAAACAACUUAUCUAUGGUCCUGGUCCGUAGCUAAAGCUGCUGCUGCAUCCCACCACCCUAACAUAGUUGGUAUCCACCGUUCUACGGGUAGUUUCCAGACCAUCAUCCAUUCAUGUUUAGAGGUAGUGCUCCACGACUAAAUAUUUGG